rnacentral:lncRNA from 1 species
AUAAAUACAAUAAACAAAUAAAUAUUAAGUGAAUAAAUAAAAUCAUACUCCAUAGGUGAUACUGGAGGAUAAAUUUGCUGGCUAACUUGAAACGAAAACUUGUCCUUGCUGGAUGUUGCUAACUAAUUGCCUCUAAGCAUGUUAGGUUGCAUUGCUACCAACAUUGCCUCCAAAGUUGCAAGUUAUUACUGUUGAUCAUUUAGGCAUUGCUUUUGGUUAUCAAGUCUUUGCUAUUG